rnacentral:misc_RNA from 1 species
GAUGAAGAACGUAGCGAAAUGCGAUAAGUAGUGUGAAUUGCAGAAUUCAGUGAAUCAUCGAAUCUUUGAACGCACAUUGCGCCCUUUGGUAUUCCUUAGGGCAUGCCUGUUCGAGCGUCAUUUAAACCUUCAAGCUCAGCUUGGUGUUGGGUGACUGUCCGCUUCACCGCGGACUCGCCUCAAGAUUAUUGGCGGCCGGUACAUUGGCUCUCGAGCGCAGCAGAAACGCGUAACUCGAGGUCCUCGUGCUGGCUCCCAGAAGCUAUCUUCACAAUUUUGACCUCGGAUCAGGUAGGGAUACCCGCUGAACUUAAGCAUAUCAAUAAGCGGAGGA